CAAUAGCGUAUAUUUAAGUUGCUGCAGUAAAAAAGCUCGUAGUUGGAUUUCGGGUGGGAAUGGCCGGUCCGCCGUUUCGGUGUGCACUUGCUACGCCCACCUUGCUGCCGGGGACGUGCUCUUGAGUUCACGCUCGGGACACGGAGUCGGCGAGGUUACUUUGAGUAAAUUAGAGUGUUCAAAGCAGGCCUACGCUCUGAAUACAUUAGCAUGGAAUAACACGAUAGGACUCUGGCCUAUCUUGUUGGUCUGUAGGACCGGAGUAAUGAUUAAGAGGGACAGUCGGGGGCAUUCGUAUUUCAUUGUCAGAGGUGAAAUUCUUGGAUUUAUGAAAGACGAACUACUGCGAAAGCAUUUGCCAAGGAUGUUUUCAUUAA
rnacentral:rRNA from 1 species